GCCCCAGACUCCUACGGGAGGCAGCAGUGGGGAAUAUUGGACAAUGGGGGGAACCCUGAUCCAGCGACGCCGCGUGAGUGAAGAAGUCUUUCGGUAUGUAAAGCUCUAUCAGCAGGGAAGAAAGAAAUGACGGUACCUGACUAAGAAGCCCCGGCUAACUACGUGCCAGCAGCCGCGGUAAUACGUAGGGGGCAAGCGUUAUCCGGAUUUACUGGGUGUAAAGGGAGCGUAGACGGUUACGCAAGUCUGAAGUGAAAGGCGGGGGCCCAACCCCCGGACUGCUUUGGAAACUGUGAAACUGGAGUGCAGGAGAGGUAAGUGGAAUUCCUAGUGUAGCGGUGAAAUGCGUAGAUAUUAGGAGGAACACCAGUGGCGAAGGCGGCUUACUGGACUGUAACUGACGUUGAGGCUCGAAAGCGUGGGGAGCAAACAGGAUUAGAUACCCUUGUAU
rnacentral:rRNA from 1 species